rnacentral:rRNA from 1 species
GAUAAAAGGUACUCCGGGGAUAACAGGCUGAUACCGCCCAAGAGUUCAUAUCGACGGCGGUGUUUGGCACCUCGAUGUCGGCUCAUCACAUCCUGGGGCUGAAGUAGGUCCCAAGGGUAUGGCUGUUCGCCAUUUAAAGUGGUACGCGAGCUGGGUUUAGAACGUCGUGAGACAGUUCGGUCCCUAUCUGCCGUGGGCGCUGGAGAACUGAGGGGGGCUGCUCCUAGUACGAGAGGACCGGAGUGGACGCAUCACUGGUGUUCGGGUUGUCAUGCCAAUGGCACUGCCCGGUAGCUAAAUGCGGAAGAGAUAAGUGCUGAAAGCAUCUAAGCACGAAACUUGCCCCGAGAUGAGUUCUCCCUGACUCCUUGAGAGUCCUGAAGGAACGUUGAAGACGACGACGUUGAUAGGCCGGGUGUGUAAGCGCAGCGAUGCGUUGAGCUAACCGGUACUAAUGAACCGUGAGG